rnacentral:tRNA from 2 species
AUUUAUAUAGUUUAAAUUUAAAACAUUACAUUUUCAUUGUAAUAAUAAAAUAAUUUUUUUUUUAUAAAUA